rnacentral:rRNA from 1 species
CAGCAGCCGCGGUAAAACAGAGGGUGCAAGCGUUAAUCGGAAUUACUGGGCGUAAAGCGCGCGUAGGUGGUUUGUUAAGUUGGAUGUGAAAUUCCCGGGCUCAACCUGGGAACUGCAUCCAAAACUGGCAAGCUAGAGUAUGGUAGAGGGUGGUGGAAUUUCCUGUGUAGCGGUGAAAUGCGUAGAUAUAGGAAGGAACACCAGUGGCGAAGGCGACCACCUGGACUGAUACUGACACUGAGGUGCGAAAGCGUGGGGAGCAAACAGGAUUAGAUACCCCUGUAGUCCCUGUCUCUUAUAC